rnacentral:rRNA from 1 species
AGUGAACGCUGGCGGUAGGCCUAACACAUGCAAGUCGAACGGCAGCACAGUAAGAGCUUGCUCUUACGGGUGGCGAGUGGCGGACGGGUGAGGAAUACAUCGGAAUCUACUUUUUCGUGGGGGAUAACGUAGGGAAACUUACGCUAAUACCGCAUACGACCUCCGGGGGAAAGCAGGGGAUCUUCGGACCUUGCGCGAUUGAAUGAGCCGAUGUCGGAUUAGCUAGUUGGCGGGGUAAAGGCCCACCAAGGCGACGAUCCGUAGCUGGUCUGAGAGGAUGAUCAGCCACACUGGAACUGAGACACGGUCCAGACUCCUACGGGAGGCAGCAGUGGGGAAUAUUGGACAAUGGGCGCAAGCCUGAUCCAGCCAUACCGCGUGGGUGAAGAAGGCCUUCGGGUUGUAAAGCCCUUUUGUUGGGAAAGAAAAGCAGCAGGUUAAUACCCCGCUGUUCUGACGGUACCCAAAGAAUAAGCACCGGCUAACUUCGUG